UAUUAGGGAGCUACCAUUUGAUUUUUAUGGGGGGCUAGGAUGAAAUUUGAAAAAAAUAGGCAGGACAGGAGUUUUGAGUAAAAAAAAAAGGCAGGAUGAGACACUUGCAAAAAAAAAAGUCAGGAUGACAAUUUAGGUAAAAAAAAAUCAGGAUAAACUAAAAAAAAAAAAGGCAGGACCGAACAGAGUUAAAAAUAAAAAGGCAGGACAGAGAUUACAGUUAAAAAAAAAUGCAGGACAAAAUUUUUCAUCCUAGCCCCCCCCCCAUAAAAAUCAAAUGGUAGCUCCCUUAG
rnacentral:lncRNA from 1 species